CACCAAUCCUUAACUCAUUGAUCAAAAAAAGAAAAAAGAAGAAGAAGAAGAAGAAGAAGAAGAAGAAAGAGAUGAAGAAUUAAAGUGCAUUAAAUGAAAUGGAAUGAGAUAAUCAACAAGCUAUGAUCGAAGAUAGAGAAGAUCAAGAUCAAACAAUAUAAAACAGUAGCAAAAUGAGAAAUUAGAAGUCAAGAAACAAAUAAAAUAUUUUUGGCAUUUUAAUAUUUAAAAUAAAACUUGAAUUAAAAUAAUAAAGAAAGGUCAAACUUCAAACU
rnacentral:lncRNA from 1 species